rnacentral:rRNA from 1 species
GCCGCGGUAAUACGGAGGGUGCAAGCGUUAAUCGGAAUUACUGGGCGUAAAGCGCACGCAGGCGGUUUGUUAAGUCAGAUGUGAAAUCCCCGGGCUCAACCUGGGAACUGCAUCUGAUACUGGCAAGCUUGAGUCUCGUAGAGGGGGGUAGAAUUCCAGGUGUAGCGGUGAAAUGCGUAGAGAUCUGGAGGAAUACCGGUGGCGAAGGCGGCCCCCUGGACGAAGACUGACGCUCAGGUGCGAAAGCGUGGGGAGCAAACAGGAUUAGAUACCCUGGUAGUCCACGCCGUAAACGAUGUCGACUUGGAGGUUGUGCCCUUGAGGCGUGGCUUCCGGAGCUAACGC